GAGGAACCCAACGCCUAAACUUAUGGUAUGGUUUAAGCUCUGUGCUAUGAUAUGGGAAUAGGCGGAUCCUAGGAUCAUAUUUGUCGGGUCCAUCGAUCCACUGAAAGAAAUCGCAAGGUGCGGCAGGCAAUGGAUCAAAAAUCCAUUUGCAUACAUAGAAGGCUCUUCCGGCUGUCUUUGGAUGCCUUGAUUGUUUCACCUCUGCUUGCGCGCCACAUCUACAAAGUGGUACGGGAAGAGCAGGAGGUACGGGACCAGCAACAUUGGACUCGCC
rnacentral:lncRNA from 1 species